rnacentral:rRNA from 1 species
CCUACGUGAGACAGCAGUGAGGAAUAUUGGUCAAUGGGCGAGAGCCUGAACCAGCCAAGUCGCGUGAGGGAGUACUGCCCUAUGGGUUGUAAACCUCUUUUGUCGGGGAGCAAAAGACGGACGUGUCCGGCUGUGCGAGUACCCGAAGCAAAAGCAUCGGCUAACUCCGGGCCAGCAGCCGCGGUAAUACGGAGGAUGCGAGCGGUAUACGGAUUUAUUGGGGUUAAAGGGUGCGCAGGCGGGUUUUUAAGUCAGUGGUCACAUAGUGGGGCUCAACCCCAUCCAGCCGGUGAAACUGGGGAUCUAGAGUGUGCGAGAGGCAAGUGGAAGGCGUGGUGUAGCGGUGAAAUGCAUAGAUAUCACGCAGAACCCCGAUUGCGAAGGCAGCAUACCGGUGCACAACUGACGCUCAGGCACGAAAGCGUGGGUAUCGAACAGGAUUAGAUACCCUUGUAGUC